AGGGGCCUCUGACCUGGGAGAGUGACCCAGGAGAAAACAUUAGAAGUGCAGUGUGUGUUGCUGGGGGAUCUGUUGGUGCUGUUCAGAAGCAGGUGAUAAGAUGGUGUUGAAGUGUCAGAGUAAGAGUAACAUCGCUGUUCAGGAGGGAAAGCAGAUGCUCCGCCCUAUCCUCAAAACUAGACUCUGCCUUCCUCCGAGAGGUGGCCACAGACCGUAAGGCCUUCUACGUGAUCUUCACCUGGCG
rnacentral:lncRNA from 1 species